UUUAUUGAUCAUGGAGGGAACAAACUACUCGAACUGCUUAAAGAAGAAUACCCAAUCAUCCUUGCUAGAAAAAUUGGAAGACCAAAGUCGUCGUCAAGAUUGACUAACAGAUUCAGUACAACAAUUGAAAUCAAUCCUCCAUACCCACAAGCAAAUGCGCUGAGAACAUGGGCCCAACAAAAUCAACAAAUGCUUAUUGCGUACACAAUGAAGAACACAGGUCCAACAGGCUCUCUUUUAUAUGUUCCUUUCGAAGAAGAG